rnacentral:rRNA from 1 species
AUGGGGGGACCCUGAUCCAGCCAUGCCGCGUGUGUGAAGAAGGCCUUAUGGUUGUAAAGCACUUUAAGCGAGGAGGAGGCUACUGAGACUAAUACUCUUGGAUAGUGGACGUUACUCGCAGAAUAAGCACCGGCUAACUCUGUGCCAGCAGCCGCGGUAAUACAGAGGGUGCGAGCGUUAAUCGGAUUUACUGGGCGUAAAGCGUGCGUAGGCGGCUUUUUAAGUCGGAUGUGAAAUCCCCGAGCUUAACUUGGGAAUUGCAUUCGAUACUGGGAAGCUAGAGUAUGGGAGAGGAUGGUAGAAUUCCAGGUGUAGCGGUGAAAUGCGUAGAGAUCUGGAGGAAUACCGAUGGCGAAGGCAGCCAUCUGGCCUAAUACUGACGCUGAGGUACGAAAGCAUGGGGAGCAAACAGGAUUAGAUACCCUGGUAGUCCAUGCCGUAAACGAUGUCUACUAGCCGUUGGGGCCUUUGAGGCUUUAGUGGCGCAGCUAACGCGAUAAGUAGACCGCCUGGGGAGUACGGUCGCAAGACUAAAACUCAAAUGAAUUGACGGGGAAUCACUAGUGAAUUCGCGGCCGCCUGCAGGUCGACCAUAUGGGAGAGCUCCCAACGCGUUGGAUGCAUAGCUUGAGUAUUCWWGGGGGNCCCCCCUAAAUA